GACGAACGCUGGCGGCGUGCUUAACACAUGCAAGUCGAACGAAGUGGCGCACGGGUGCGUAAUACGUGAGUAACCUGCCCCCCUGCUUGGGAUAAGCCUUGGAAACGGGGUCUAAUACCGAAUAAAGGGGGAUGGGCUCGCGGCCUAUCCGCUUGGUGGUGGGGUGGUGGCCUACCAAGGCGGUGACGGGUAGCCGGCCUGAGAGGGUGACCGGCGAGAUGGGGACUGAGAUACGGACCAGACGCGUACCGGAGGCAGCAGUGGUGGAGAUUGGACAUUGAGCGAAAUCCUGAUGCAGCGAGGCCGCGUGGGGGUUGAAGGCUUUCGAGUUGUAAACCUCUUUCGCUAUCGAAGGGGUAGGUGGAGAAGAAGCGCCGGCUAACUACGUGCCAGCGGGCGCGGUAAUUC
rnacentral:rRNA from 1 species